rnacentral:rRNA from 1 species
UGAUGACGAGACGCUAAGGCGUUGAAGCAGUGUAUGUCAGACUUCCAAGAAAAGCUCGCAAUGUCAUAGAUAAAAAAUGCCUGUACCAUAACCGACACAGGUGGGUAGGUAGAGUAUACUAAGGGGCGCGAGAUAACUCUCUCUAAGGAACUCGGCAAAAUGACUCCGUAACUUCGGGAGAAGGAGUGCCUUAUUUAUAAGGUUGCAAUAACAAGAUCCCAGCAACUGUUUAUCAAAAACACAGGUCUCCGCUAAGUCGUAAGACGAUGUAUGGGGGCUGACGCCUGCCCAGUGCCAGAAGGUUAAAGAAGUUGGUUAGUGUAUGCGAAGCUGAUGACUGAAGCCCUGGUGAACGGCGGCCGUAACAAUAACGGUCCUAAGGUAGCGAAAUUCCUUGUCGGGUAAGUUCCGACCCGCACGAAAGGCGUAUGAUUUGGAUACUGUCUCGGAGAGAGGCUCGGUGAAAUAGACUUGUCUGUGAAGAUGCGGACUACCUGCACCAGGACAGAAAGACCCUAUGAAGCUUUACUGUAACUUGAAAUUGGAAUUGGACUUUGCUUGCGCAGUAUAGGUGGGAAGCGUUGAAGAUAUUCUUGCGGGAGUAUUGGAGCUAUCAGUGAGAUACCACUCUUGUAAUGUUAGAUUUCUAACUUUGAACCAUAAUCUGGUCAAAGAACAGUUUCAGGUGGGCAGUUUGACUGGGGCGGUCGCCUCCCAAAUGGUAACGGAGGCGUACAAAGGUUUCCUCUGAACGGAUAGAAAUCGUAUCUAGAGUGUAAAGGCAUAAGGAAGCUUGACUGUGAGACCUACAAGUCGAGCAGGGACGAAGGUCGGUCUUAGUGAUCUGACGGUACUGAGUGGAAAGGCCGUCACUCAACGGAUAAAAGUUACUCUAAGGAUAACAGGCUGAUCUCCCCCAAGAGUUCACAUCGACGGGGAGGUUUGGCACCUCGAUGUCGGCUCAUCGCAUCCUGGGGCGGUAGUACGUCCCAAGGGUUGGGCUGUUCGCCCAUGAAAGCGGUACGCGAGCUGGGUUCAGAACGUCGUGAGACAGUUCGGUCCACAUCCGGUGUAGGCGCUAGAAUAUUGAGAGGGGCCUUCUUUAGUACGAGAGGACCGAGAAGGACACACCGCUGGUGUACCAGUUAUCGUGCCAACGGUAAACGCUGGGUAGCUAUGUGUGGAGUGGAUAACCGCUGAAAGCAUCUAAGUGGGAAGCCCACCUCAAGAUGAG